rnacentral:rRNA from 1 species
AUUGAACGCUGGCGGCAGGCUUAACACAUGCAAGUCGAGCGGAGAUGAGGUGCUUGCACCUUAUCUUAGCGGCGGACGGGUGAGUAAUGCUUAGGAAUCUGCCUAUUAGUGGGGGACAACAUUCCGAAAGGAAUGCUAAUACCGCAUACGCCCUACGGGGGAAAGCAGGGGAUCUUCGGACCUUGCGCUAAUAGAUGAGCCUAAGUCGGAUUAGCUAGUUGGUGGGGUAAAGGCCUACCAAGGCGACGAUCUGUAGCGGGUCUGAGAGGAUGAUCCGCCACACUGGGACGGAGACACGGCCCAGACUCCGACGGGAGGCAGCAGUGGGGAAUAUUGGACAAUGGGCGGAAGCCUGAUCCAGCCAUGCCGCGUGUGUGAAGAAGGCCUUUUGGUUGUAAAGCACUUUAAGCGAGGAGGAGGCUACCUGGAUUAAUACUCUAGGAUAGUGGACGUUACUCGCAGAAUAAGCACCGGCUAACUCUGUGCCAGCCGCCGCAGUAAUAC